AGUGAACGCUGGCGGUAGGCCUAACACAUGCAAGUCGAACGGCAGCACAGUAAGAGCUUGCUCUUACGGGUGGCGAGUGGCGGACGGGUGAGGAAUACAUCAGAAUCUACUUUUUCGUGGGGGAUAACGAAGGGAAACUUACGCUAAUACCGCAUACGACCUACGGGUGAAAGCAGGGGAUCUUCGGACCUUGCGCGAUUGAAUGAGCCGAUGUCGGAUUAGCUAGUUGGCGGGGUAAAGGCCCACCAAGGCGACGAUCCGUAGCUGGUCUGAGAGGAUGAUCAGCCACACUGGAACUGAGACACGGUCCAGACUCCUACGGGAGGCAGCAGUGGGGAAUAUUGGACAAUGGGCGCAAGCCUGAUCCAGCCAUACCGCGUGGGUGAAGAAGGCCUUCGGGUUGUAAAGCCCUUUUGUUGGGAAAGAAAAGCAGCAGGUUAAUACCCCGCUGUUCUGACGGUACCCAAAGAAUAAGCACCGGCUAACUUCGUG
rnacentral:rRNA from 1 species